CUUCCCGAGCUUCACCACGCAAUCUGCUAUCUUUGUAUUUGUAGACUUACUUUUUUUCGCUUUUUCAUUUUCUCCUUCUUCGGCUCCGUGUUUCUCUCUCUUCCCUGCUCGCCUCGGUGCGAUCAUCUCCAAAGACCAAUUCUUUCAAGUUACAACGUCUUCAUCUUCGUCUUCAGCUUCUUGUUAGUUGACUUACAGAGAUUUCUCAAUUUCUAGGCGCUGUCGCUCUUUCAUAGAUUCCAAGCUGACGACAUAGUCUUCUCUGAAGUUCCUUUAUUCGCGGUUGUUCGGCGACUUCUUUGGCGCCUACCCGUUCCCAUUUUGUCUUUCAUAGGGUGGAUACAGAGAAGGAAGUUUUUGAGGGUUUGGAUGGAGAAAGGUCAAAGCUUCGGCUCCGCUGACGAGUUACAGGAGAGGAGGAAGAAGAAGGGAGCGCUCCCCCUUGCGGUCUUCCUUUCUUUCAAUGACAGAGAUGUGAAUCCCCAAUGCCCCAACGCACGCAAUCCCUACCAUAAAUGCGGCUGGCACUGCCUCGAUAAAAUUCCAGGCGGGAACAUGCUAUUGGAUUUAGAAAGAUCAGGGGGGAGCAGUUCGGAGUGGGAAAAGAUGUCGGAGAAAAAGGUUUUGAAUCCCAGUUGCCCCAACGCUUCCAAUCCCUACCACAAGUGCGCUGAUUACUGCUUUGCGAAAAUUACGGAGAAGCCUCAGGACGCGGUUAAAGAGCCAGGGAAGGACAAAGGAGUUGUAAUAACUGUAGAUGAAAGUGCUGUGAAUCCAAACUGCAAAUAUGCAUCCAAUCCUUACCAUAGAUGUAGUAAAUUUUGUUUUGAGAAUAGCCCUGUCGGUGACCUUCGUAAGGGUGUUCUGAAGCCAAACGAACAAAAACUUGUCCGCGCAGCAGACAGAGUUAAUCCUGAGUGUAAAUAUGCAUCAAAUCCAUAUCAUGUUUGUUCUGAAUACUGCUUACAGAAGGCACCUGAAAGGGUCCAGGCUGGGCAAGCCAUGAAUCCAAAAAACCUGAAGGAAAGAAAGAAAAUAGUCAACACGACAGAAAGAACAGGCGUGAAUCCUAAUUGCAGAUUUGCAUCAAACCCAUACCAUAAAUGUUCUGAAUACUGUUUCCAAAAUGUCGCACAGAGGGAUAUAUCUGAUGGAGUGAUUAAAUCCGAAGGAAAGAAAGCGGUUAAUGAAGCAGAGAGAAGAGAUAGGAAACCAAAGUGUGAAAAAGCUUCAAACCCGUACCACAAAUGUACUGAUAACUGCUUUCAAGAGAUCUUACUAGACAACCCAGCUGUGGAAGCUCCAACUAAGGAAAAAAAUAGUGGUCAACUAAAAGAAAGAAAGGCAGAUCAUCGAACGACGACAGAGCCGAGUAGCUUAGACUCUGAUGGUAUGGAAGCAACUUGCAUUAAUCAUAAUCAAACUGAUUCCUCAAAAGGAAUCACCAUUCAUAUUGGGACUAAUGAAUCAGAGUCUGUCACAUUAUUGCUACAGUUUUCGUUAAGGAUGAAAAAGAGGCAAGUAUGAUUGAGCUUUUAGAUUCACAGCCCCUGAGAAUAGAUGCUGCUGAACUGUUUAAAGAAUGGGCAAAAUAUUGCUCCCUAAAGGCCACGGAGGACAAUGAAGUCAAGACAGAAAAAACAGCUCAAAGAUGAUAGUAGGUUGCAAAUUGGGUGGCUUCUGGUGCAGUCAGAUCCCAUUCGUCUCUCUUUUUGUAGGAUUUUUUUCUUCUUUACUCUCCUUAUACAGGACAGAAGUGACCCUUUAGCUAUGUCUUCAUUCUUCAGAAAGGAGCAAAGAUCUACAAAUAAAACUCAUGUGGAUCAGAAUUGUAGAAAUGUUUUCGGUCCAUAUAAAACUGUUCAAUAUGUUCCCUUCGAGGGUUGCAUGUAUUAUGCUGAACAGAAGAAUGGACCUGUGGCUGCUGUUUUAUAGCGUGCUUUAUGGCUUGUUUUGAUUUGUUUGUCUAUUUUUUUAAAUAAAUCUCAGGCUUCUCUUUUUCUGUUUGUUU